rnacentral:pre_miRNA from 1 species
AGUGGAAUUGUUGGGUCAUACGGUAACUCUAUGUUUAACUUUUGGGGGAACUGCCAAGCUGUUUCCCACAGUGACUGCACCAUUUUACAUCCCCACCAGCAAU